CCUACGGGAGGCAGCAGUGAGGAAUAUUGGUCAAUGGGCGUAAGCCUGAACCAGCCAAGUCGCGUGAGGGAUGAAGGUUCUAUGGAUCGUAAACCUCUUUUAUAAGGGAAUAAAGUGUGGGACGUGUCCUGUUUUGUAUGUACCUUAUGAAUAAGGAUCGGCUAACUCCGUGCCAGCAGCCGCGGUAAUACGGAGGAUCCGAGCGUUAUACGGAUUUAUUGGGUUUAAAGGGUGCGUAGGCGGCCUGGUAAGUCAGCGGUGAAAGUCUGUGGCGCAACCACCGAGAUGCCGGUGAAACUGGGAGGCUUGAGUAUGUGUGAGGCAGGCGGAAUGCGUGGUGUAGCGGUGAAAUGCUUAGAUAGCACGCAGAACCCCGAUUGCGAAGGCAGCCUGCCAAGCCAUGACUGACGCUGAUGCACGAAAGCGUGGGGAUCAAACAGGAUUAGAUACCCGGGUAGUC
rnacentral:rRNA from 1 species